GUGCUUGCUUUGGCAGCACACACUAAAAUUGGAAUGAGACAGAGAAGAUUAGCAUGGCACUUGUACAAGGAUGACACACAAAUUUGUGAAGCAUUCCAUAUUAAA
rnacentral:snRNA from 1 species